GAAAUGUCAGUAUGGAUUUAGUUUUAAGUUCUCCCUUAUUCGCGGCUGACAUUGCGUUAGUGAUUGGGCACGAUGUACUUUUCACUUGUGUGCUCGUGUUAGAUGGUAAAAUAGUACAUCGUUUCGCGAUAACUUUUAAAUAAUUACAUACCAUACAUACCUAAUAUAUUAUUAUUAAUAUCGUUUUAUAUAGUGGAUUGCCACAUUUUAUGAAAAUAUUGAAAUACUCGUAUAUUACUAGUAUGUUGGUAUACUAGUAUGUACUAGUAUUUUUUGGUUUAGUCAUUUACGCGAUAAUCAUUAAUCUUGACAGUCGAUUACAGCAAUUGGUACAUACUCCUUAUUAGUUCAGAACCAUACGCGUUUGAGCUAGGGUAUCGGAGGUGCCCUGGAACAUACUCUUUAGUAUAGGCUUCCUGGCGGUAGGAAAUGCCCUUGAAAAGCAGCGAAGCAAAGAAGCGGCUGUGUACCGAAGAGGGGUCCACAAUCAUCGUCGACAUGUGAUUACUGACCUCAUUAGGAUAAGGAGGAUUCCGCAAAAGGUCUCACAAAAACUCUUGAAAUAAUGCGAAGGUGCAAACGAUCUUGCAAAAUCCCACAAUAUAAUGCACACACGCAAGUGAUCUCUCAAAAACUCUUGGGAGGACGCAAAAACUCAUCGGAUGACGCAAAAACGCAAGUGGUCUCGAAAGAGUCUUAAAAUAACACUAAAAUGCAAAUGGUUUCGCAGAAUCUCACAAAAUAAUUCAAAAACACAAGUGUCCAUCUAAAAACCCAAGUGUCCUUGCAUUCCAUUGGAUGACAUAAAAAUGCAAGUGGUCUCGCAAACAACACUCAGGAUGAUAUCAAGAUUCAAAUGGUCUCGCAAAAUCCCUCAAGAUAAUGCAAAGACGCAAAGUAGCCUCGAGAAAACUCUUUGGAUGACGUAGAAACGUAAGAAGUCUCGCUACAACGCUCAGAAUGACAUCAAGAUUCAAACAAGGUCUCGCAAAAUCUCUCAAGAUAAUGCAAAGAUGCAAGUGGUCUCGCAAAAGCCCACCGGAAAUAUUGCGACAUUAAAAAUAUGAUAUACAAUCUUAAAGGCUGUGCAAACGGAUACCUGGU